rnacentral:rRNA from 1 species
CAGCAGCCACGGGAAUACGUAGGUGGCAAGCGUUGUCCGGAAUUAUUGGGCGUAAAGGGCUCGCAGGCGGUUUCUUAAGUCUGAUGUGAAAGCCCCCGGCUCAACCGGGGAGGGUCAUCGGAAACUGGGAAACUUGAGUGCAGAAGAGGAGAGUGGAAUUCCACGUGUAGCGGUGAAAUGCGUAGAGAUGUGGAGGAACACCAGUGGCGAAGGCGACUCUCUGGUCUGUAACUGACGCUGAGGAGCGAAAGCGUGGGGAGCGAACAGGAUUAGAUACCCGUGUAGUCCCUGUCUCUUAUAA